rnacentral:rRNA from 1 species
GCAAGUCGAACGCGAAAGGGACUUCGGUCCUGAGUAAAGUGGCGCACGGGUGAGUAACGCGUAGAUAACCUGUCUUCAUGUCUGGAAUAAUACGCCGAAAGGGGUACUAAUACCGGAUAUUCUUGCUUUUCAUAAGUUAUGCAAGCAAAGGUGGCCUCUGCAUAUGCUACUGCAUGAAGAGGGGUCUGCGUACCAUUAGCUAGUAGGUGGGGUAAUGGCCUACCUAGGCGACGAUGGUUAGCGGGUCUGAGAGGAUGAUCCGCCACACUGGCACUGGAACACGGGCCAGACUCCUACGGGAGGCAGCAGUGAGGAAUAUUGCGCAAUGGGGGAAACCCUGACGCAGCGACGCCGCGUGAGUGAAGGAAGGCCUUCGGGUCGUAAAGCUCUGUCAAGAGGAAAGAAGUGUACAAUGGCUAAUACCUGUUGUAUUUGACGGUACCUCUAAAGGAAGCACCGGCUAACUCCGUGCCAGCAGCCGC